GGUCAGUGAUGAAAGGUAAAAGGUCUGAGUGCACGGAGCAUUAUUCCCACAUCCUCGCUCCCAGGAAACCCUGCAUUUCCUAUCCAGCUGAAGGCUUGCUGUGUUGAUCCAGGGGGUCCUGACAGUAAUAGAUGCUGCUGCUUUAGAGCACAUUGAGAAACUUGGAGCACAUCUGCAGUGAGCAUUUGACACAGUUGAUUACUCAGGAGUGUUUGGUGUUGUGGGGUUUGUCUCUGCUGCCUGACUGCAAAUUGUAAACUGAGACC